AAUAAAAGAAAGAUAACUGAAGCAAGUAUGAGCCUGAUGUUUGAUCAGUAUCCACCAUUUUUUGAGCAGAUCACCUCCCUGCAAUGGUUUAAUCUUGUAAUAUGCCAAGUCUUUCCCUAUCCAUAAUCAAGGCUGGCAAAGACAGAACUUCCAAGAGUACUGGAGUGGAGGCAAAGCAGAGCAAAGGGUUGGGUCUGGGACACAGAAGAGGAUGGGAACACCUCACCUUAAUGAAUCUCGUCUCCAUGAUAUUAGCAUAUCAUUCAGGACAUUUCCUACCAGAGCUCUUGAUAAGUACAAGCAUUUUCUUGCCUCUUCUGCCUCUGGACUAUAAGUUCCUCAAGGCCAAGCAUUUGUUCAGAGCUAUUUCUCCAGUACUUAGCAGAGUUCAUGGCAGGCAAACUGGUGCUCAAACAUUUGUUGCAUAACUAUUGUCAUGUUUCAAAUGAGAGUACCUCGUGUAGUUGUAAUGGCCAUCAAAUCAGAUGAUGCAUGGGGAAAUGAUAAUAAUUGUAAGGACCCACAAAUAUAACACAUUUGUUUUCAAAAAGACAUUUUUUAAAGAAGCAAAAUGUGAGUACGAUAUCACCUGAAUAUGGUGUUGGAAACACCUCCUCUGAACAAGAAAUGAGAACGCUGGUUCCAAUGAAAUAUGAUGAUUAUAAACACAUCAUCAGAUUUGAAAUUUUUGUGAUUCCUGUGAUGUCUCAUGCAGAUUCCCAAUUUCAACAUAUGUUGGUUAAAUAAAUGAAGAAAGGUCAGAUCUUUUAUGACUAGAUGUUUAUAACAAUGUAUAUUUUAAAUCUUA